GAUGAACGCUGGCGGCGUGCCUAAUACAUGCAAGUCGAGCGAACAGACGAGGAGCUUGCUCCUCUGACGUUAGCGGCGGACGGGUGAGUAACACGUGGAUAACCUACUUAUAAGACUGGGAUAACUUCGGGAAACCGGUGCUAAUACCGGAUAAUAUAUUGAACCGCAUGGUUCAAUAGUGAAAGACGGUUUUGCUGUCACUUAUAGAUGGAUCCGCGCCGCAUUAGCUAGUUGGUAAGGUAACGGCUUACCAAGGCUACGAUGCGUAGCCGACCUGAGAGGGUGAUCGGCCACACUGGAACUGAGACACGGUCCAGACUCCUACGGGAGGCAGCAGUAGGGAAUCUUCCGCAAUGGGCGAAAGCCUGACGGAGCAACGCCGCGUGAGUGAUGAAGGUCUUCGGAUCGUAAAACUCUGUUAUUAGGGAAGAACAAAUGUGUAAGUAACUAUGCACGUCUUGACGGUACCUAAUCAGAAAGCCACGGCUAACUACGUG
rnacentral:rRNA from 1 species